GUGUCAGCCGCCGCGGUAAUACGUAGGGUCCGAGCGUUGUCCGGAAUUAUUGGGCGUAAAGGGCUCGUAGGCGGUUCGUCACGUCGGGAGUGAAAACUCGGAGCUUAACUCCGAGCCUGCUUCCGAUACGGGCAGACUAGAGGUAGGCAGGGGAGAGCGGAACUCCUGGUGUAGCGGUGGAAUGCGCAGAUAUCAGGAAGAACACCGGUGGCGAAGGCGGCUCUCUGGGCCUUACCUGACGCUGAGGAGCGAAAGCGUGGGUAGCGAACAGGAUUAGAAACCCUCGUAGUCC
rnacentral:rRNA from 1 species